UACGUAGGGUGCAAGCGUUAUCCGGAAUUAUUGGGCGUAAAGAGCUCGUAGGCGGUUUGUCGCGUCUGCUGUGAAAACUGGAGGCUCAACCUCCAGCCUGCAGUGGGUACGGGCAAACUAGAGUGCGGUAGGGGAGAUUGGAAUUCCUGGUGUAGCGGUGGAAUGCGCAGAUAUCAGGAGGAACACCAAUAGCGAAGGCAGCUCGCUGGGACGGUAUUGACGCUAAGGCGCGAAAGCGUGGGGAGCAAACAGG
rnacentral:rRNA from 1 species